rnacentral:misc_RNA from 1 species
AACUGAGACUAGACGAGUGCAGGAGUAGCGACUUCACCGCUACCAAAAUGCAACUCCAAGAGAGCUGAUGAACAGAGCAGAAUCAAAAGAGACCCAAAUCUCUGUUCCUCCUUUCUAUGACUUUCAAAUUCUAUUUCUUGGAUGUUUAUAUAUGUGUAGUAUUUCACUGUGUUUAUCUCAAUUUCCUGCUAAAUUCUCCCGACUCCCUUUUCUUUCUCUAUUUUCUCUCCUAAUGUAAGCUAUCUCUAACCUUUUUA